rnacentral:rRNA from 1 species
GACGAACGCUGGCGGCGUGCUUAACACAUGCAAGUCGAACGAUGAACCUCGAAAUGUUUUCUUCGGAAAGAUUUUUGAGAGGAUUAGUGGCGAACGGGUGAGUAACGCGUGAGCAACCUGCCUUAGACAAGGGGAUAGCCUCGGGAAACCGUGAUUAAUACCCUAUGAGACUCCACUUACGAGUGUAAGAGAAGUUAAAGCUAUUGCGGUCUAAGAUGGGCUCGCGUCUGAUUAGCUAGUUGGUGAGAUAAAAGCCCACCAAGGCGACGAUCAGUAACCGGCUUGAGAGAGUGAACGGUCACAAUGGAGCUGAGACACGGUCCAAACUCCGACGGAAGGGAGCAGUGGGGAAUAUUGCACAAUGGGGGCAACCCUGAUGCAGCGACGCCGCGUGAGCGAUGAAGGAAUUCGUUACGUAAAGCUCUGUCCUUGGAGAAGAUAAUGACGGUAACCAAGGAGGAAGCACCGGCUAAAUACGUG